UACAGAGGUCUCAAGCGUUGUUCGGAUUCAUUGGGCGUAAAGGGCGCGUAGGCGGCGGGGUAAGUCGGGUGUGAAAUCUCAGAGCUCAACUCUGAAAUGGCACUUGAUACUGCUCUGCUAGAGGACUGGAGAGGAGAUUGGAAUUCACGGUGUAGCAGUGAAAUGCGUAGAUAUCGUGAGGAAGACCGGUGGCGAAGGCGGAUCUCUGGGCCGAUACUGACGCUGAGGCGCGAAAGCCAGGGGAGCAAACGGG
rnacentral:rRNA from 1 species